GGCCCCUUCGUCUAGGCCGGUCCAGGACAUCAGAUUUUCGAUCUGAGAACACGGGUUCAAAUCCCGUAGGGGUCACCA
rnacentral:tRNA from 4 species